rnacentral:rRNA from 1 species
AAGUAUAUGCAUAUUUGAUAUGUAGAAACUGCGAACGGCUCAUUAAAACAGUUAUAAUCUACUUGACAUUUGUUCUUAUAUAAGGUUAACUCCGGAAAACCGGUGCCUAAACCUGGGCCUAGGGCAAAUUUUUGUUUAACAAAGGUUACUGGUUUUUGUUAAUCCCUUAUAAAAGGAAUAAAAAAAAAAUUCCUUUAACAAAAGGAAUUAUAACAAAGAAGUAACACCGUACUUGACUUAUGUCUAGUUUAUUGUGUAUCAAUCGAGUUUCUGAACCUAUCAGCUUUUGAUGUUAGGAUAUUGGCCUAACAUGGCGGUGAACGGGUAACGGGGAAUUAGAGUUCGAUUCCGGAGAGGGAGCCUGAGAAACGGCUACCACAUCUAAGGAAGGCAGCAGGCGCGUAACUUACCCAAUUCUAGAGAAGAGAGGUAGUGACAAGAAAUAAUAAGACAAGACCAAAUUUUGGUUUUGUAUUUGUGCUGAUGGAAAAUUAAAAUUUUUCCAGAAUUCCAUUGGAGGGCAAGUCUGGUGCCAGCAGCCGCGGUAAUUCCAGCUCCAAUAGCGUAUAUUAAAAUUGUUGCAGUUAAAACGCUCGUAGUUGAAUUUCAAGAAGAUCUAUUCUUAGUUAGGGGUUGCGUAGAUCGUCGCGUUCAUUCUCUACGAAUGUAGCGCGCUACGGUUAACGUUUUAACGCCUUUCUAAAUCCAAUGAUCUUUUUUUUAGUUUUUUCUUAUUUGCUUCGGCAGAUGGUUAAAACUACGUUACUUUGAGUAAAUUAGAGUGUUCAAAGCAAACAUGGAAAGCAUUUUAUAUGUGUUUGAAUACUAAAGCAUGGAAUAAUACAAUUGAACUUAGUGAAACCUUUUUUUUUUUUUUUAUGUUUCGCUUUAGUUACGAUUAAUAGGAGUAGAUUGGGGGCAUUUGUAUUCAGAUGUUAGAGGUGAAAUUCUUAGAUUUUCUGGAGACAAACUACUGCGAAAGCAUUUGCCUAAAAUACUUCCAUUAAUCAAGAACGAAAGUUAAGGGAGUGAAGACGAUCAGAUACCGUCGUAAUCUUAACCAUAAACGAUGCCGACUAGGUUUUGGAUAAAAAAAAAUUUUAAUUUAGUUCGCUUCAUGUAUGUAUUUCGGUAUGUGCAUGGGGUGAAUUAAUGACUUGUCUUUUUUCAGUACCUUAUGAGAAAUCAAAGUCUUUGGGUUCUGGGGCGAGUAUUCGCGCAAGCGAGAAAGUUAAAAGAAUUGACGGAAGGGCACCACCAGGCGUGGAGCUUGCGGCUUAAUUUGACUCAACACGGGAAAACUUACUAGUGUAAGACAAGAGUAGGAUUGACAGAUUGAUAGCUCUUUCUUGAUUUCUUGGAUGGUGAUGCAUGGCCGUUUUUAGUUCGUGAAUUUUGAUUUGUCUGGUUAAUUCCGAUAACGAACGAGACCUUACCUUGCUAAUUAGCGACAAGUACAUUUUUCGUUUAUUACGUGAAACAAGUACAUAAAAUACUUAGGUUAUUACCGGGUGUUGCAUUCGCGUGUAACAUUAGCGGAGUAUCCGUUACGGGUUUUUAUGACUUGUUUUUACGUUAUAAUCGAGUAUUUGUUAAAAACUUUGAAGCUUCUUAGAGGGACGAUGUGUGUUUAACACAAG